GGGGUUUAGCUCAGUGGUAGAGCGCUUGCCUAGGAAGCGUAAGGUCCUGGGUUCGAUCCCAGCUCCG
rnacentral:tRNA from 1 species